CAACAUGAUGAAAGAUAUGUCAAAACAUUCGUUCAUAUUAGCAUUUUUAUUUGUAAUUCUUGCCACAGAAGUUUAUUAUGGUCAUUCAUUUUCGAAGGAAACAAACACAGAAGAUGUUGUUAUAACUAUAACUCCAUGUCAAACAAAGCAGGAUUGUAUUCGCAAUAUUCGUUCGGUAGGAUGCGGUGCUUCAGUAGUUCAUUGUUUCGACGGAUAUUGCCGUUGUAAUCAUAUAUCAGGUAAUUUGUUUCCGAGAGGACCACUAGGAGAGAACCACUAGAAGAGGCAGGAGUGAGUGAUUCUACACAUGAAACAUUUUAA